rnacentral:tRNA from 1 species
AGAAAGAUAAGCUAAUUAAGCUACUGGGUUCAUACCCCAUUUAUAGAGGUUUUAGCCCUCUUCUCUCUA